GACGAACGCUGGCGGCGUGCUUAACACAUGCAAGUCGUACGGUAAGGCCCUUUCGGGGGUACACGAGUGGCGCACGGGUGAGUAACACGUGAGUAACCUGCCCACAACUUUGGGAUAACGCUAGGAAACUGGUGCUAAUACUGGAUAUGUUCUCCUGCUGCAUGGUGGGGGUUGGAAAGCUCCGGCGGUUGUGGAUGGACUCGCGGCCUAUCAGCUUGUUGGUGGGGUAGUGGCCUACCAAGGCGGCGACGGGUAGCUGGACUGAGAGGGUGACCGGCCACAUUGGGACUGAGAGACGGCCCAGACGCCGACGGGAGGCAGCAGUGGGGAAUAUUGCACAAUGGGCGCAAGCCGGAUGCAGCAACGCCGCGUGCGGGAUGACGGCCUUCGGGUUGUAAACCGCUUUCAGCAGGGACGAAGCUUUUUGUGACGGUACCUGCAGAAGAAGCACCGGCUAACUACGUG
rnacentral:rRNA from 1 species